rnacentral:rRNA from 1 species
AUUGAACGCUGGCGGCAGGCCUAACACAUGCAAGUCGAACGGUAACAGGAAGAAGCUUGCUUCUUUGCUGACGAGUGGCGGACGGGUGAGUAAUGUCUGGGAAACUGCCUGAUGGAAGGGGAUAACUACUGGAAACGGUAGCUAAUACCGCAUAACAUCGCAAGACCAAAAAGGGGGACCUUCGGGCCUCUUGCCAUCGGAUGUGCCCAGAUGGGAUUAGCUAGUAGGUGGGGUAACGGCUCACCUAGGCGACGAUCCCUAGCUGGUCUGAGAGGAUGACCAGCCACACUGGAACUGAGACACGGUCCAGACUCCUACGGGAGGCAGCAGUGGGGAAUAUUGCACAAUGGGCGCAAGCCUGAUGCAGCCAUGCCGCGUGUAUGAAGAAGGCCUUCGGGUUGUAAAGUACUUUCAGCGGGGAGGAAGGGAGUAAAGUUAAUACCUUUGCUCAUUGACGUUACCCGCAGAAGAAGCACCGGCUAACUCCGUG